rnacentral:misc_RNA from 1 species
GAAACUCCCACCAUUCUCCACCUAUUACCUAACACCAAAACCUCUGUAUUUUUUGUCAACAAUACGACGCCCUGUAUUUGUUUUUGUCCAUGGAGGCGGAGAAGAGAAAGCGAGAAGAUGAUGCCAAAAGUAUAGAAGGGGAGAAAUCGAAAGAAAAGGGAGUAGUUAAUGGAGGAGAGGCCGUGGCCGAGGAGGAAGUGGAGGAGUUCUUCGCCAUACUGAGGAGGAUACACGUGGCAGUCAAGUAUUUCGAGAAGAAUGACGGCGGUAAGAGAUGGAAACCGUCGUUUGAGAUAGAGGAUUUCGAAGAGGUUAACGGCGAAGUGGAAGGAGAGAAGAAGGAAGAGGAUUCUUUGGACGAGAGUACGGGUUUUGAUCUGAACUCGGAUCCUCCAUCGGAAGAUAACGCUGUGUAACUGAUGAGUUAUCCCAUGACGUUAAAUGUUAACACUUUUUUUUUUUUAAAUUUAGUGCUCUUUU